CGGACGGGUGAGUAACGCGUGGGUAACCUGCCUCACACUGGGGGAUAACAAGUUAAAAAUAGCUGCUAAUACCGCAUAAGCGCACAGUUCCGCAUGGAACAGUGUGAAAAAACUACCGGUGGUGUGAGAUGGACCCGCGUCUGAUUAGCCAGUUGGCGGGGUAACGGCCCACCAAAGCGACGAUCAGUAGCCGGCCUGAGAGGGUGAACGGCCACAUUGGGACUGAGACACGGCCCAA
rnacentral:rRNA from 1 species